CUGCAACAGCCGCUGCCUCAGCUCUAGCCCUCUGCCGGCCAGCACAGCGUCUCUGGUUUCCUAGCAGCAACAGCUGCUACUUCCGGGAGAGCUUUGUUUCAGGCAGAGACGCUGCCGCGGGGCCCUCUUAGGCGCGGGGCCCAAUUCGGGGAAAUCGGCCAAAUCGGCCUAAAGCCGGCCCUGGUUGCUGAGCUGGAAUAGUUGUCUCGAUGAUGCUCUGUCUUCGCUGCAAAGUAGCACAAAACCAUAACUCUUCACAGUACGAGGAAUUGGAGACUGGAACUCUGGCAUGACCUACCUGUGAUGCACUGGAUGCCUCAUACUCCCAAAUGUAAUGCAAUAAUCACCAUAAAGAGAAUCUAUUAACUCAAAUGCCAUGUCCCAAUAAAGAAGAUUCAAUCACAGGAGAUGUUUCUAUGAGUUUGAAGAGCAAUGCCCACUAGACUAUGAAGAAAUACUUCCUCUCAAAGUCAAAGUGUGUGCAGUUCUUCUUUUGACAUGACUGAUUAAUGACAUAUCAAGGGUGGAUACAAAUGUGCAUAAUGAUCCUGUGCCUCUCAAGUUUCUUCUGAAAUCAGGGGAAUUGGUAGAUGGCAUUUUCCAGGCAGCACGACAGGAGUGUUUUACGUGGUACAUUCUACCAGCAUCACAGAGGCCUGAUUCAAAGCCCACUAAAGUCUUUAGAAAGAGCAACUUUGGUGAACUUUUGUUUGAUCAAGUCCCAGAAGCAUGCUUCCAGAAUAUGAUACAAAGCGCAUUCAAACAGCACAGCAGCUGUGUUCCACCUGGACAUGUUAUAAGGUACAUUCACCAGAAAAGCAGUUAUAUUCUCCCUGGCCUUACACACGCAUACAGCACAAGAGCAGAUACAUUCUACUCAAAUAUAACAGAAGCAGUUUAAAAGUUUCACACACAAAAAUACACAUGACCUAUCCAUGUAAAAGAUUCCCAAAUGAAAAAAUGCCAAAAUGAAAAUAUUUACAUACAUACUUAUUAUAUUACAAUCCCUAAAAAUCACUCUCCUUAAAUACUGCUGCAUUGUCGAUGGGAGACCUUACCAACAAACCAUAAUGUUGUUUUUAUCUAUAGGAAAUAAGGCAGUUUGAGAUAUUUACUGUAUAGUACCUAAUGGAAACUUCAUGGCAACUCAAAUAAUCAUGUUUUAUUAAACAGUUUGAGUGCAGAAGAGUCUCACCACUUGCAAAAUAUGCCCAGCAUUUCAAUAAAACAUCACUUUACUGGAAACUGGUAAUUCUCUGGGUGAAGGACAUUAUCAUCUGAACAUUAAAAGGAAACUUGGAAGGGAGUGCAUCUUUUAUUUGUCAUUAGUUGGGAGUGAAGAUGGUGUUGCUCUUGGAAUAAUCAUAACUUUUACAGAAUUAAACUCAACUGUUUGGGUUUUUUUAAAGGGCUGCUAAAGUCUUAGAGUGAAAAUAAACACUGGAACUGAAAUCAAAUGUUUAUUUUGUUUCCACCGCACUUGACUCUGAUUCUGCUUUGUUAAGUUACUACUGACAGCUCAGCAGAAGUUUAAAAAAAAAAAAAGUAACACCAGAAGUAAAAUGACAAUGGCAAUUUCACAACUAUAUUAAAAGCCAGAAAAGUCCUUAAGAGACCUUUGGUCAAACAUUUUCAAAGAAUCACACUGAGCUUUAGUCACCAUCUUGACAUUCAUUGCAUGAGAGACAAGGUGGAUGAGGUAAUAUCUUUUAUUGGACCAGCUUCUGCUGGUGAGAGAGACAAGCUUUCAAGCUUACACAGAACUCAAAAGCAUCUCUCUCUCACCAGCCAACACUGGUCCAAUAAAAGAUAUUACCUCACUCACCUUCUCUCUCUAAUAUUCUGUGACCAACACUGCAUGUUGACAUUACAUGAUAUUUGUGGUAGGCUCACAGUUAAGUCCCUGCUUGCAGCUCUGAAAAUGCCCUGAAAUGUGUUUUUGCAUCUUCUAAAUCUCACCCAGCCCUGGCCGAUAUCCCAUACAAAGUCAAAUUUCUUCUUUUAAAUGAACUGUUUAGUACUAAUGAAAGGUGCUGGAUUAACAGCUCUAGAAACUAAGAGCAUGUCAAAAUGUGCAGUCAAUGCACAGCAAGCUGAGGUAAAAACCUACAGCGCUCCAGUGGGUCACAUGCUAAUGAGAUAAAAUUAUUCUGCUUAACUGCCAGGGGGCAAAUUUGUCCCGUACACAUGGAAGUUAUACAGCACAGUUAUAGCUAUGUCUUAACUCAGGAAGUUCCUUCAAGAGGAAAUGUAGCCAAACUCCAAACCUGCAGACAAUGGACCUUUUUGAGCCUGCGUCCUGUAGAUAAACUGCUUAGUUUGCAAAAUAAGUAAGGAGGAGGGGCAAGUAGAUGAACAAUAAGGGGUCAUAA